rnacentral:pre_miRNA from 1 species
AUCCAAAUCACCUUGGGGACCUUGUUAAAAUGCAGGUUCUGAGGUGGGGCUUGAGAUUCUGCAUUUCUUACAGGCUCCCAGUUGAUGUUGAG